CGCGGCCUACGGGGGGCAGCAGUGAGGAAUAUUGGUCAAUGGGCGGAAGCCUGAACCAGCCAAGUCGCGGGAGGGAAGAAGGCCCUGCGGGUCGCAGAUCUCUUUGGACGGGGAGCAAGGCCGCCGACGUGUCGGCGGAAGGAGAGUACCCGUAGAACAAGCAUCGGCUAACUCCGUGCCAGCAGCCGCGGUAAUACGGCGGAUGCGAGCGUUAUCCGGUUUUAUUGGGUUUAAAGGGUGCGCAGGCGGCACGGCAGGCGGGA
rnacentral:rRNA from 1 species